CAAUCAAUGGCCGACCAUCGCUCUUCGCAUGAAGUCGGGUUAGCAGCGCCUGAGGUACACGAGGUGCCCUAGUUGAGAUCUUGCAGUGGGUGCGAUUGAUUCCAAUCCGUGUCUCCUCAAGUUGGAUCGGAUUGGGCGACACCUCCUAGAGGCAACCGAUCGAGAGGUAUCCGGUUGGUGGACAGCAGCUGGAUUAAGGCAGUGAGGUGAGGUGCUGUUUUGGUGGAGUAUUUGCUUGAUUCCGGCCACCACAUCCCUGUCAACAAAUUGGCACAUCUGAGACAAGUGAUUUUAUAGCUUGACCUGUUCUUGAUCCGAUCAGUAGGGAGGAAUCCAGGUUUAUUCUGUGGUUUCUUUGAUCCAGCAAUUCAUCUUGUUGCUGGCAGCAACAAUCCCUGCUGUGGAUCAACAAUCAUGGUUGGAGGUGAAGUGGUGCUCUGUGGUAUUCUUUGUCCAGCAGAUCACCUUGUCUUUCCAGCCAUCUCAGUUGGUUUCCAGCAGCUCACUUUGUUCCAGCAGAGGCUGUAAAUUAGGACUCUGAUUCGAGACGGGCGUCUCGACUUCGGAUUUGGAUUGACUGUACUUUCUAU